UACGAGGGGAGCAAGCGUUGUUCGGAUUUACUGGGCGUAAAGGGCGCGUAGGCGGUCGUGACAAGUCACUUGUGAAAUCUCCGGGCUUAACUCGGAACGGUCAAGUGAUACUGUCGGACUAGAGUACAGAAGGGGCAACUGGAAUUCUCGGUGUAGCGGUGAAAUGCGUAGAUAUCGAGAGGAACACCUGCGGCGAAAGCGGCUCACUGGACCACAACUGACGCUGAUGCACGAAAGCGUGGGGAGCAAACAGG
rnacentral:rRNA from 1 species